GACGAACGCUGGCGGCGUGCUUAACACAUGCAAGUCGAACGAAGUGGCGAACGGGUGAGUAAUACGUGAGUAACUUGCCCUCCUUUUUGGGAUAAGCCUUGGAACCGGGGUCUAAUACCGAAUAAAGGGGGAUGGGCUCGUGGCCUAGCAGGUUGUUGGUGGGGUGAUGGCGUACCAGGGCGGUGACGGGUAGGCGGGCUGGGAGGGUGACAGGCGACAUGAGGACUGGGACACGGUCCAGAGUGCUGCGGGAGGCGGGAGUGGGGGACAAUGCGCAAAGGGCUAAUGCAGGAUGGAGCGGUGCCGCGUGGGGGAUGAAGGCUUGUGGGGUGUAAACCGCUUGCGCUAUCGAAAGGUUAGGAGCAGAAGAAGCGCCGGCUAACUACGUGCCAGCAGCCGCGGUAAUAC
rnacentral:rRNA from 1 species